rnacentral:rRNA from 1 species
GAUGAACGCUAGCGAUAGGCUUAACACAUGCAAGUCGAGGGGCAGCACAAGGUAGCUUGCUAUCUGGGUGGCGACCGGCGCACGGGUGCGUAACGCGUAUGCAACUUGCCCUAUACAGGAGGAUAACCCGUCGAAAGACGGACUAAUACUGCGUAUGCUCACAACUUGGCAUCAAGUGGUGAGGAAAGAAAUUCGGUAUAGGAUAGGCAUGCGUCCCAUUAGCUUGUUGGUGAGGUAACGGCUCACCAAGGCAACGAUGGGUAGGGGAACUGAGAGGUUUAUCCCCCACACUGGUACUGAGACACGGACCAGACUCCUACGGGAGGCAGCAGUGAGGAAUAUUGGUCAAUGGGCGCGAGCCUGAACCAGCCAAGUCGCGUGAAGGAUGACUGUCCUAUGGAUUGUAAACUUCUUUUAUACGGGAAUAACAAGAGUCACGGGUGACUCCCUGCAUGUACCGUAUGAAUAAGCAUCGGCUAACUCCGUG